rnacentral:rRNA from 1 species
UACGUAGGGGGGCAAGCGUUUGUCCGGAUUUAUUGGGCGUAAAGAGCGUGUAGGCGGCCUGGUAGGUCUGCUGUGAAAACUCGAGGCUCAACCUCGAGAUGUCGGCGGAAACCAUCUGGCUAGAGUCCGGAAGAGGAGAGUGGAAUUCCCUGGUGUAGCGGUGAAAUGCGCAGAUAUCAGGAGGAACACCAAUGGCGAAGGCAGCUCGCUGGGACGGUACUGACGCUGAGACGCGAAAGCUAGGGGAGCAAACGGG